CUGAUGUUAGCGGCGGACGGGUGAGUAACACGUGGGUAACCUGCCUGUAAGACUGGGAUAACUCCGGGAAACCGGGGCUAAUACCGGAUGGUUGUUUGAAACCGCAUGGUUCAGACAUAAAAGGUGGCUUCGGCUACCACUUACAGAUGGACCCGCGGCGCAUUAGCUAGUUGGUGAGGUAACGGCUCACCAAGGCAACGAUGCGUAGCCGACCUGAGAGGGUGAUCGGCCACACUGGGACUGAGACACGGCCCAGACUCCUACGGGAGGCAGCAGUAGGGAAUCUUCCGCAAUGGACGAAAGUCUGACGGAGCAACGCCGCGUGAGUGAUGAAGGUUUUCGGAUCGUAAAGCUCUGUUGUUAGGGAAGAACAAGUGCCGUUCAAAUAGGGCGGCACCUUGACGGUACCUAACCAGAAAGCCACGGCUAACUACGUGCCAGCAGCCGCGGUAAUACGUAGGUGGCAAGCGUUGUCCGGAAUUAUUGGGCGUAAAGGGCUCGCAGGCGGUUUCUUAAGUCUGAUGUGAAAGCCCCCGGCUCAACCGGGGAGGGUCAUUGGAAACUGGGGAACUUGAGUGCAGAAGAGGAGAGUGGAAUUCCACGUGUAGCGGUGAAAUGCGUAGAGAUGUGGAGGAACACCAGUGGCGAAGGCGACUCUCUGGUCUGUAACUGACGCUGAGGAGCGAAAGCGUGGGGAGCGAACAGGAUUAGAUACCCUGGUAGUCCACGCCGUAAACGAUGAGUGCUAAGUGUUAGGGGGUUUCCGCCCCUUAGUGCUGCAGCUAACGCAUUAAG
rnacentral:rRNA from 1 species